rnacentral:sRNA from 1 species
UUAAUAUAAUGUACGUGAGUAUCUAUUCCUCCAGCAGUUAAAAUUAAUCCUUCUCCAGCUAAUGCUUCAGUACUAACUCCAACAAUAAAAUCUAUAUCAUCCAUUCCUAAUGGAUUUCCACCUUUUCCUAUUGUAUGGAUCUUUCCAUCUUUGAUUCCAAUAUCAGCUUUAUAAAUUCCGUUAUAAUCAAGAAUAGUUACUCCUGUUAUAAUUAAAUCAACAACUUUAGGAUUUUUUCUAGUUUCAAUAGAGUUCUGACCCAUACCAUCUCU